UGACAGUAGUGAUGAUAACGACAGUCGUCUUUACCCUGAAACAGCCUGUGUGGGUUUUUAGUCACUACCUCAUCUGAACAGUCA
ensembl:snoRNA small nucleolar RNA SNORD11B